rnacentral:rRNA from 1 species
GACGAACGCUGACGGUGUGCUUUAGACAUGCAAGUCGAACGAGAAAGCCCUUCGGGGUUAGUAAAGUGGCGAACGGGUGAGUAACACGUGGGCAAUCUGCCCCUCGCGAGGGGGACAACCGGAGGAAACCCCGGCUAAUACCCCGUAAGUUCAAAGGGAGGCAUCUCCCUUCGAAGAAAGGUAGCUUCGGCCAUCCGGCGAGGGAUGAGCCCGCGGUGCAUUAGCUAGUUGGUGGGGUAACGCCCACCAAGGCGACGAUGCAUAGCUGGUCUGAGAGGAUGAUCAGCCACACUGGGACUGAGACACGG